UGUCACCCAUCUGUAUAGUACAGUAUAGUACAUACUACUGUAUAUACACUGUACUGUCGAAUGCUCAAUUCUGAUUGGCCGGGAAGUGUCGAUUCAUUUUAUAUAACAGCAGCUUGCCAGCUGCAAGGUUUACAUUCUUAUUCUCAUUCUAAUACAUUAUUGUUUCUAUAGUAACAAUCAACACGUGUCAUUUUUGAUAUGGUGAAUACACUUAUUUAGCAUUUACGGAAGGAGUCUCCAGUGUCAGAGCACUUUGCAGUAGACCAUGGUAAAGCUUCAAGAAAUCUUGACGUUUUCUGACGCAGGAAGGCCUUGAGAAUAGAGGGCUCUGCAGCUUCUCGGUGACAAGUAAAGUUUUAUGUUCGUACUAACUUCAAGAGUGAGAGAAAAAAAGAGGCUGGUUUCAUACCUGACAGCUCACUCACACUAAUAUAAACCUUACACAUGCUGAACUUUUUUGCUGAGUACCACAGGAUCCCAGACCCGAUGCACACCAACCACAUGCCCUGUGAAUCUCUCACGCAAGCCUACAAACACAGCUGUGCCUCUCUGAUUCAGCAUAGGGGCAUAGGGAGAACAUGCAAAGUCCGCGCACACAAGGCAGAGACGCGAACCACCAAACCACCAAACCACCAAACCACCGUGCCCACCUACAAGUGAAAUAAAGAACCUCCGCGCGCGCGCCACAGCUGCUUGUCCGGAGCUCGCGCCCUCCUCCUCCUCCUCUUCAGUUCACGGGCAGUGUUAAAGGUGUGCGUGUUGGUGUUGGAGCGCGCGCGUCGCUCAUGCAGCUCUGCUCGCGCUGCUCGCUCACCCGUCUGUCCCUCCAGCUAUUCAUUCCUUCACCUCGUUAAAUCUCGCGUGACGGGGGAGGAGGGAGGGGAGAAACACACACGAGCACACAGGUCCCAUAGGCGAUCAGUAUUUAAGGGCGACGUGACUUACCGACGCCUCGAGCGCACUGUUACUGGAUUUACAACUGAGAGAAAGCUCGCGCGCUUUCACUGCUGGGUGCGAAUUCUUGGCCAGUUUCUCAGCUUCUCAUCUUUCCUUCUGCUACUUCUUCUUCUUCUUCUUUUACUUCUGUACAUCAGGGUUCUUCAUUUCAUUCUUUCUGUAUCCGUGUCUUUAGGCACUUAAAAGUUCUUAAAGGAAAUGAAAUCUACACAUUUUCCCCUCAUACCACAACUGUAGCCAUGUUUCUUAGCAGAGGUCUGCUUCUUUAAAGUAAGGAAAUGUAUAGAUACACUAUAUGGGCAAAUGUUUGUGGACACCUGACCAUCACACCCAUAGAGUCGGAUCCAUAAUUAUUUGGACAGUGACACACUUUUAGUACUUUCGCCUCUCUUCACCACCACAAUGGAUUUGAUAUGAGGCAGUCAAGAUACGAUUGAAGUGUAGACCUUCAGCUUUAUUUCAAGGGGUUUAUCGAGAGAGAAAAAAAUGCAUUAACCGUUUAGGAAUUACAGCCAUUUUGUACAGAGUCCGUAAAUUGUCGCUGGCUCAAAAGUAAUCGGACAAUUGACUGAUAAACAGUUUCAUGGCCGGGUGUGGCCUGUUUACUUGUUAUUUCAUCACAGAUUAAGGCGAUACAAGGUAUGGAGUUGAUUUCAAGAGUUUGGUAUUUGCUAGCUGCUCAUGGGAACUCUCCGUAUGCGGUCCAACGAGGUGUUGGACCGCGUAUUGGCCUGCAACGACUUGCAACUAUGCAAGCGAAGGAGGCCAUCAUUAGGUUGAAAAAAGAACAGACCUGUCAGAGAGAUGGCAGAAACUUUAGGAGUGGCCACAUCAACAAUUUGGUGUGUUCUUAAUAAGAAGGAAUGCACUGGCGAGCUCAGCGACACCAAAAGGCUGGGAAGACCACGGAAGACAACUAAAGUGGAUGAUUGCGGAAUUCUUUCCUUGUUGAAGAAAAGCCCCUUCACAACAUCUAGCCAAGAACAGUCAAGAACACUCUGGAGGAGGUAGGGGUAUCAUUGUCAAAGUCUAUAAUCAAGAGAUGCGAAUGUGAAUACAGACGGUUUACCUCAGGAUGCAAACUAAUGGGAGCACUCAAGAACUGAAAGACCAGAUUAGACUUUGCUAAAUAAAAAAAAAAAUAAAAGCCCUAAAAAAAAAAAGUCUGACCAGUUCUGAUGCAAGCUUAACUUGUACAAGAAUGAUAGUAAGAGAAGAGUAUGGAGAAGGAAAGGAAGGGCUCAUGAUCCAAAGCAUACCGCAUCCUCCGUCAAACAUGUGGAGACAGUGUUAUGGCAUCGGUAUGUACAGCUGCAAAUGGAACUGGAUCACUGGUGUUUAUUGAUGACAUGACUAGAGCUAUAAUUUCUGCUCAGAUUCAGUCAAAUGCUGCAAAACUGACAGAACUGAUCGAAAGAUAUUAAAUGGUCUUAAAUAUCUAAUGACCUUAACCCAUUUUAGCAUACUUUUCAAUUACUGAAGACAAAACCGAAGGCAGAAAGACCCACAAAAACGCACCAACCGAAGGCAGCGGCAGUAAAGGCCUGGCAAAGCAUCUCAUGGGAGGAAACACAGCAUUUGGUGAUGUCCAUGGGUUACAGAUAUCAGGAAGUGAUUGACUGCAAAGGAUUUGCAUCAAAGUAAUAAAAACAAUCAUAAUAUUUAUGAUCAUGUUCGUUUGUCCAAUUACUAAUAGUCCAAUUACUAUUUAGGGGGGCUAAAUCUGUAAUGAGAUAUUCAACAAGCACAUAUGAGUGUAACAGACAGGUGUCCACAAACUUUUACCUUUAUAUACACACACACACACACACACACACACACACACACACAUAUAUAUAUAUAUAUAUAUAUAUAUAUAUAUAUAUAUAUAUCUCCUGUGUAUGCCUACAUUCAAUUUUACUAUAAUAAACUGUUCCUUUAACUGUUGCUGCCUUACAGCUCCAGGGUCCCGGGUUCGAGCUUGGGUCAUGGUUUGUGUGGACUUGUUCACGUUCUCCCUGUGCACUUCCCCAAAAAAUGCCAGCAGGUGGACUGGCGAAUCUAGAUUUACCCCUAGGUGUGAGUGUGCGUGAGUGUGUGUGUGUGUGUGUGUGUGUGUGUGUGUGUGUUGCCCUGUGAUGGCCUGAUGGUGUUUACAUCUUAUGAACAGUGUUCCCAGAUUAGGCUCUGGACCCUGACCAGGAUAAAGUAGUUACUGAAGAUGAACAAUUGAAUGAAUGACUGAAUGAAUGAAUGAAUAUUCAUUUUCAUAACUGUUAAAAUAUGCACGUGAAAUAGAACUAAUUAUAUUAUGAAUGUGCAUCAGUAAUAGCAAUGGUCGCGAUCGCAAAAAAAAAGGACAAUAUUUUGUAUUAUUAUUAAUAAUUCAGGUCUAAGACCUAUUUUUAUACUUUUAUACUUUUAUAUGUUUAUGCUUUUAGCUAUACCAAUGUGUGAAAGUAAACAUUCUCUUUAACAUGAAGUUCUUUUAACUAGCUGGUUAAAACUGUUGGGGUAUUUAGUUUCUGAGAGAUAUACGAUGACUCUUUCAAAACAUAUUUUAAGGCUAUUUAAUGUGAAUUGUUGCAGCUAGUUGAGGUUUGAUACACAAGGUUACUUGUAUAUUGCGCAGUGUGAGUUUCCUCCACAUGUUUAUUCUCUGUUUUUUGUUUGUUUGUUUGUUUGUUUGUUUUUGACAUAUUUUUCGUAUAGUACAUUUCUUGUACUUCUCCAUAUCCAAUCCAGUUUUUGCUUUCUUGUUAAUAGGUUCCUUCUCUCCUUUGAACAGUUUUCAGUUUAGUUUUACUUUACUAUAAUAACCCUGCCUGGGAGAACUGUUGUCAGAACUUUGCCUCCAGACCCUUUCACACCUGCAGCACAUGACCAGCUAUUUGCAUCCCAUCCAUCAUCAGACCACAUGCAGCUAGACGAUCUUGGCCAAAAGCGAUAUAAACACUCACCGUCCACUUUAUUAGAAACACCUGUACACUUGCACAUUCAUGCAGUUGCGGCUUUAGGGUAUCCUUGUGAGAUUAUCCACAAGUACAGAAGAGUCAGAAGCGCAGAAGGCUCCAGAUGAAGGACGCAGGAGGAUAAGAGCAUUAGGAAGAAUCAAGCAGGUCCACAGGGCCGCGAGCUGAGCAGAGGAAUGCAGAGUUCGAGAUCACUGUGACUACCAGGUCACAGCCAUGACAGGAAUGACUCUCCAUAAAUUUCAUCACUCACUUUUCCCCAUGACAGAGGAACUUUGGGCGUGUAAAUGUGUGUGUGUUAGAGAGAGACUGACCUUGAAGUAACACUCCGAGUUCGACAUCAAAGGAAUGUGGAAUAAUGUGCUUAUAAAAACUCAGCACUGAGUAACAACUCCCUGAGACUGUACGAGGAAGAAAGCUUGAAAGGAAUAAGACUCGAAUGGGAACCCGUCCUCUUCUGGGUGUCACCGGAUUACGAUUAUAAAUCAUUACUCUUCUGCAACUGUUAUAAAGGCAAGGAGUAAUAAGCGUGUUAAACGCAUGUUCAGUAUGAUGAGCACAGGUAUAUCCUGAAUAUACGUAUCUCCUAUAUAUCUAUCAGCUGUUCAACCAAUGUUGAUCUUCAUAAUGUCAUUAUUUACAAUGGCAUACGGUUUAAAUUCCUCUGAAAUAUUAGUUAGUUUGAUUUAAACAUGUUUAAAAAUUGUUAUUUGAGAGAUAUAAGCUGAUGUUCCAUCAAUUUCCUCACCUUUCUAGAAAACUAUGGAGCAGCAUGCUCAUUGCCCUAUUUAGCUCUAUAGAGUUAUUCUUGCACCUAGUGGUCAAACAUGGGAACUGCAAUCAACAUUAAUACAGGCACAGGAAUCAUGCUGCCCCAUGCUCACUCUAUGAACAUUUUCAGUGGAGGAGGAGCUCUUGUUAUAAUCCCAAACAAUCAGAAUUAAAUCUAAUACAUUUCUGAAAACUAAGGUAAAGUGUAAGUGCAGGCAGUGUGUGUGUGUGUGUGUGUGUGUGUGUGUGUGUGUGUCUAUGAUGUUCAAAAUCAUUUUCAAAGUAUUUAUUGAUACAUUGGAAAGAUUGGGAGAGGGAAAAGGGAAUCAUGGGUGGAUAAUGCCCUUACAUCAGAAAUGUGUGCAUACUGUGGUGACCUUGUUUCUCGUGCAAAGGCUGAGAAACAUGGCUGUCUCCCUUUUCCAAUGCAGAUUUUUUUGUGUGGCUAGUUUCAGGUCUUGUCAAGAUUGGAAGCACAUCAGCUUCAUGGAACAUAGGUUGUUGAACAAAGGUACAUUUAAAACCACGCAAAAUAAGAUGCUCGACUGUAUGCUGGGUGAUUGUAUGCUGUCGACACUCAACUGCCUAUUACUCUAAACAUUUCACUAGGUAGUAACCUAUAGCAUAAAUCAAGUGUGAUGUUGGCCUGCCCCACCAAAAUCUAUGGUCACAUGACCCACAAUGUCAUAGUCACAUGUCCAGUGUUAACCCAUGCAGUGGUAGCUCAGGGGUUAAGGUUUAUUGCUUGUGACAGGAAGCUGGGAUUUCAAAUAUCUUGGGAAAAAUCCUGAGGAAAAUUCUUAACCAUUAAGAGGAUUGGAUUAGAUUCUACCACACUCUGGAUAAAAGUCUAUGCCAGGCUAUGCUUCCUUGGUCCAACUAUAACAUAACUAAUCCAUACAAAUACGUCAAAGAUUUUUGGUGUCUAAAGACUGUUCAUUUUUUAUAAGAUUGCUAAUAAGACUCUUUUAUUAUUAUUAUUAUUUAUUUUAUUUUUUUUUACACUUUUCUGGCCACAAGGUUCAGAAUCUUGAAGAUUACAGUGUGAUUGCAAUCCGUAUUUCAAUGUGUAGAUUUCUAGCAGUCAGUUUUUCGGGGCAAGAUAUAGACCCUGGUUUGAAAAUAGGCAAAACAGGCUGUUUACGCAGUUGCCCACAUUGACAUUUCUGUGAUCAUCAUUCAUACCAGUAUUGUAUAAAGUAGGCCAAUAAGGAUUUUGCUGGCGAUAUAUAAAGUUCUUAUGUGGUAUUAACGCAACACUUAUAAGAAAGGGAGAAGGAACGAAAAUGAAGCAAAAGAAAACAAAAAUAAAAUUAAAUAAAGUUUUUUUUUUAAAAAAGGGAAGAAAAGAGAAAAUAUAUCAUGCACAAAACACAUAAAAAAAACCUUCGAGGAAACAAUGACAACGGGAAAAAAGGGAUACAAAAAAAAAAAGAGAAAAGAGAGAAAAACAAUACAAGUGGAAUCUGUAUAUCAUUUUUCCAGAUCUCCUUAUCAUGCUAUGUUGAUAUAGGAGUAUACUGUCAGGGUGUGUGUGUGUGUGUGUGUGUGUGUGUGUGUGUGUGAUCUUGAUGCAACACUUAGAGCUAGAAGGCACAAGAAUGUAUGUAAGAUAAUGUGUUUAAAAGAUGGAACGGGCAGAAUAAACAACCAUCUUUUUGAUUUCUUAUCUGAAAGCCUGUGUUUAUCCUCCGGGUUUCUCAUUAGCAGAAUAUCUUUAGGUUAUUAUUGAAUAAUGGACUUGUAUCUAGGUGCAUCUACACAUUAACAUUCAACAAUUUAACUCCUUCAUGGCGUUUCCAGUUCAGCUAGAUCGAGACACAUUACUGCGAAUAAACAUGCAACUCAGUGUGUAUGAAAAAACACUAUUGCUAUACGUAUAUUGUUACAUAGCUCAGGGGUUCCCAAACUUUUCCACUGAAAGGCCCCCCAAAUAGCAUUAACAUUUGACCGAGGCCCCCCUUUUGCAAGAUGUCUUUAAAACACAUUAAAAAUAUAGACUUUUGAAUAUAUCCACCUUUUUUGUAUUAAUAAUGACAUCUUACAUCUUUAUAUUACAUUACAUUAGGAAUUGAUUGUGUGUGUGUGUGUGUGUGUGUGUGUGUGUGAGUGGUUGUCUGAGAGUGAGAAAGAGAAAACAUACUAGUGGGAGGGAUGGGCACACCAAGUUGUUGAGGCCCCCUGGGCGCCCCCUGGCGGCCGCAGCCCCCACUUUGAAAACCACUGACAUAGGUAAUAUAAAAUAAAUAAAUUUUUUUUUUUUUUUUUUUUUUUUAAAUCUUGCAACAACACAGUGUGGGGUUGUCACAAAUAUUAUGUUACUUGCUUUACAGGAUGAGGUUUUCCAUUUUCACCAACCUAUCACAAGCUUCUCUUGCUAUUAGUUAUUGCUAUAACAUUUCUACAUUUACAUUUUAUGGCAUUCGGCAGACGCCCUUAUCCAGAGCGACUUACAUUUAUCUAAUUUAUACAACUGAGCAGUUGUAGUCAUGACCUUUUGAUCAGUAACCCAGAGCCUUUAACCACUGAGACACCACAGCCAAGAAGUGCCUGCUCUACACUACAGAAAUGAUAUACAGCGAUAUAUAAGGAUAUAUAACAAUUAGUUUAUUAAGCGUAACAUGCACGGUAAAGUUAUACUCGAAUCCAUCAGACUUACACUUCACCUGCCAUCUUGGUUAGUCCUGUUUUAAGUCACGUACUGAUCAUAACUAUUGCUCUAGUGUCUAGGGUCACAGAGGAGCCUGGAGCCUAUCCCAGGGAACUCGGGGCCCAAGGCGGGGGACACCCUGGACAGGGUGCCAACAUAUUGCAGGGCAAAAUUGCACACACAUUCACACACCAAUUCACACAGACAGUUUGGAAAUGCCAAUCACCCUACAGUGUAUGUCUUUGGACUAGGGGAGGAAAUCAGAGUACCCAGAGGAAACCCCUAAAGCACUGGAAAAACAUGCAAACUCUGCACACACAGGUUAGAGGCGGGAUUCGAAAGCCCAACCCCGGAGUGAAACAGGCUGCAGUAUAAGGUUCAAGGGAGUCCUCUAUUGAGUGAAAACCACGCUUAAUCCAAGAAUAUAUACAAUUAUCUAAUACAAAUGAACUAGCAACUGGAUAUUAAACUUUAUUUUGAGAUGGAGCAUAACUUUGUAGGAAUGUGUAUUCAUUUCAUGAAAACAAAGU